rnacentral:rRNA from 1 species
GAUGAACGCUGACAGAAUGCUUAACACAUGCAAGUCAACUUGAACUUCGGUUUGGGUGGCGGACGGGUGAGUAACGCGUAAAGAACUUGCCUCACAGAUACGGACAACAUUUGGAAACGAAUGCUAAUACCUGAUAUUAUGAUUAUAUGGCAUCGUAUAAUUAUGAAAGCUAUAUGCGCUGUGAGAGAGCUUUGCGUCCCAUUAGCUAGUUGGAGAGGUAACGGCUCACCAAGGAGAUGAUGGGUAGCCGGCCUGAGAGGGUGAUCGGCCACAAGGGGCCUCAGGCACGGCCCUUACUCCAACGGGAGGAAGCAGUGGGAAAUAUUGGACAAUGGACCAAGAGUCUGAUCCAGCAAUUCUGUGUGCACGAUGAAGUUUUUCGGAAUGUAAAGCGCUUUCAGUUGGGAAGAAAAAAAUGACGGUACCAACAGAAGAAGUGACGGCUAUAUACGUG